GAUCUGAACUGGCGAACCCCGGGCUGCCGAAGUGGAACAUGCGCACUUAACUGCUGCGCCACCAGCCCAGCCCUGCAUGUGGAGCUAUUUUGAGCACUUUCAAGCACAUACAAACGUCUUCUCCCACCGUCCUCUCUUUCCCCGUAGUCGGUAGCAUGUCCCUCAUCCUCUUCUUACUGCUCCAUAUCGGUUUUCACAGAUUUUCUCUUCUUUCUAUGAAAAGCAUGCAUUCUUAAAGAAAGAAAUAAGGGAACAAGUGAAAAGUGUCACAAGCGAGGCCCCUCGAGAUGAGGGUCUGAGGGGCUUAGGCAGCGACGGUUUCCUUGCGCUCUGAGUUGUGCAGGGAACCAAGUUCUUAUCUGCAAGACGGGGACCGGUCACCCAUCUUCUGCAAGGUCCCUGGAGCAGGGCCUGUGCACAAGGCCAGGCUGCAGGAAGGCCCGGAAGCUUCCCCGGGGGUGCGUGUUGUCGGCUGAUACACAGAUGGGACUUUUCUGCUUGUCCCAAGAAUGUGGAAGGAGCCACAAAGCUGAGAAGGACAAGUGGUGAGAGCCUUGCAUUUUGAGAGGUGCGACACCCCGGGAUCCUGUCUGACGGAAAGAGCAGAGCUGUCCCCAGCAGUCAACCCCGCCAGCCACCUCCAGCCUGGAUGGAUGGGGGCCUGAGUGUGGGUCGAGGCAUUGUCUCCAUCGUCCUCUUGGUAAGAGCAUCUCCUGAAGCUCAGCUGAGCACUGGGCCGUCCAGCUAGAGGCCAUUCCCAGCUCUCUUUGUGGUAGGAGUGGACACGGCAUCGAGUUGCGGUCAAUGGGAUGUGAGAGGAAGGGACGCGCGCAACCUCUGGCCACAGCCUUGAAAAGGCAGCCGUUCCCGGCGCUCUCUCCUUCUCUCUCUGGGGCUGGACCACCAGCCAGUGGGAACGAUGGAGAUGAGGCGGACGCCCUUGGACGGGGAGGAACAACGCGAUAGGAGGAACCAGCUCCUUCCGCAGCCUCAGGGCGUGGAGCUCCUCAGCCACCCUGGUCCACCCGCAAACUGCAGGCGGUCAUGAAAGAGACAGCCAUGUGCCUGUGCAGACACGACUUUGAAACCAACAGUGUGUCUAGCUGGGUGUCCAGGAGCCAGAGGAAGAAGGUUUGGUGACCAUCUGGCCAGCGUCUGCCACAACCUCUCAAUGAUCCAUUGUUUCAUUCUCAAAAAUGGAGCGGGAAGCACAAAGCAAAUGGGGGAAGGAAAAGGCGAUAUCGUCACCAAGAGUUGAAGACUCCCAGGGAAAUAUAAAGUGGAAAGGAAAGUCGAAGGGAAUUCUGGGUCAGAGCCUGGCUUCUGCCCCGAGUUGGCCAAAACUCUUUCUGACCUUGCCAGUGGGCAAGGACGUGGGUGAGUCCUGGGGAGCCCAGGGCUCAUUACAGCUGGGAGAACUGGGGAUGGUGAUGGAAGGAUGGCCACCCAGAGUGGAUUGGUUUGUGUCAUCUGCUCCUGUGCCCACCAUGGUCAACUUCCGCCUCUCAGGAACAGGUCAAAGUUGAAGCCCCUUCAAAGCCUUGAUGUUGAUGCCCCUUCAUAGCCUUUGUGGGGACUUCCUUCCCCGCUCACCCGUGGUGAGGAACGCCUCCCUGCAUCUCCAGCCUCCUCCUUGGUUUAUUUUCUCGCUUUGGGGUAGCACGUCCUUCAGUAGCUUCUUGAGAAAGUGUGACUGGUAGACUACUGUUUUUUGAGACCUUGCAUGUUUGAAAUGGCCACUACUCCGCUCGACACUUGACUGAUCCUUUGGCUGGCCAUAGGAUUUUUAAUAGGAAAUAGUUUUCCUUUAGAAGUUUGGAGGUGUUGUUCCAUCGGAUUCUUGCUUCCAAUUCUGCUCUUGAGAAUUACGAAGCCACUCUGAGAACUGACUCUCUGUAUGUGACCUAGCUUUCCUCUCUGGAAGCUUGUAGAAUCUUCUCUUUGUCCCGAGUGUACUAAAAUGUCACAGUGAGGUGCCAUGGUGGUGGUGGGGGGUGUGUCUCUAUUUAUUUACUCUGCUGGAUAUUUCACGGGCCUCUUCAGUCUGGAAACCCAAGCCUGGCAGCCGGGAACCGGCCUUGAAUUAUUUCAUCGGUGACUUCCUCCCCUCGUUUCUCCCUCACACAUCUGUAGCGCCCUUUUUUUGGAUGUUGGAUCUUCUUUAUUAUCAUCCUUUCCUUCUUCUCUCUCUUUUCCUUUUACUUUCUGGGAUAUUUUCUCAAGUUGAUUUUCUAACUCUUCUGUUGAGUUUUAUCAUCCCGGCUGUGGUUUUUGCUUUUAAGUUUAGGCGCUCUUUCUUCUUUGUCUUCCCAAUGCUCCUUUUUGAUAGCACCCUCUUCUUGUUCUUGGAUGUGACAUCAUAUCUCUGAGGGUCUGGGUCACAGCUGCCUGUUGUUGACAGAGUCGUCAGAGCUUUCUUUUCCUUGAACAGUCUCUGUUUCCUCCAAGUUACAUUUUUCUGUUGUUGUUUUGGUCUUUACUUUCCGUGUUAGAGGCUGUUCACAGGCAUCUGGUAACCGCGGGCUGUCAGCUCACGACAGAGUGAGGAGCCAUCGAGCUCAUUAGAAGUUCAGGAGUGGAGCUUGACCACCAGAGGCUUCUUUGCGGAAGGAUCUGGGCUGUUUUUUUGAGGAUCCCCUGGUGUCAAUACCCUUAGACCUUUCCUCUUGGGCUGGAUCAGGUCUCAGAGGAGGGCAAGGUCUGACUGUUGGUGUUCUGGGGGCUGAGCUAGAGAAGAGGGAAGGAUGCAAAGGGUCACUUAACUUGUCACCCUGGUUUGGGAAAGGCACUCAGGCCUUCACCUGGGCUGGGAUCUCCCAGUCCACAAACCCUCUGUAUGACGAGGUCUAGAAAAUAAACUUCUAUCCUUCUUCCAAGAUGGGGAGGUGUCCUCCCGGGGGUGGGGCUUGGGAAGGCGGGUCUGGGCUCCAACUGCAUCUCAAAAUCUUUCACUGAGUCUUCUUCACCUCUUUCCCCAGUUCCAGAGAUGGUUUUUGGAAGACUCUGUUGUGUGAAUAAGCUCUUUCCCCACCCCCGACUUUCCCAGCGGCCACUAAGGGGACCCAGCGUCCUCGGUCAGAGUUCUCACUCACUCAUCUUCUGUCCACCUUCUAAAUUGGUUCCUGUGGUUGCCUUUUCAUCCUCUGCAUCCUUGUGGAUUUACGUCUUUAAAAUCCCUUUACCGCGGCUUUGACCAGGCGCUGGCAAGGAGCAGAAUUAGACAACAACCAUCUGUCGCUGCCCUCAGGAGCCUGCUUCACUUUUUCCCAUUUAACGUUAUUUUCCGGUUUCAUUAGCUCGUCCUCACGAGGAUAAUUUUCAUAGCAAAUAACAAAGGAGACUUUUCUUUCCAAAAGUCUGUCCCAUGAAAUGUUGGCCAAGAAAGAAAGGUGUUCUGGGGUCAGAUACGUUUGGGAUGUUUCGAGAUUUACGAGGGUAACUGCAGUCCAUCCUGAGGUCUUAGGCACAUUCAAAGACCUGGGGCCACCAGGCCAGGGUGGGUCCCAGUGAUUCCUGGCUUCCUUCUAUCGCUAGAAGAGACGGACAAGGAUCCUAUUUGGGCCCCACAGGCAACUGUUCCAAGACCCCCUGGCCCCGGCCUGGGUAGAUGACCCCCCAUGGGCUCCCACGGCCGGUCGUGGCCUGUUGUUGCGUAUUGCGAUUGUCUGCCGGAGUCUUCCUCUGGCCCAUGAACUACCUGUGGACUGGAAUGGAGUCUUAUUAACAGUUACAAUCCUUUUGUGUAGCACAGGGCUGGGGUGGAAAAGGCGCCCAGACAUCUGUUAAAAGAAAGGAAGGAUGGAGGGAGGGAGUGGGGGGAAGGGGGAAGGAAGGAAGGAAGAAAGGAAGGAAGGAAGGAGAGAGGGAGGGAAGAAAGGAGGGAAGGAGGCGGCCAGGAGGGCACUGAGUGAGCAGAGGAGGCCGUCUCAGCCACCUGUGCACAGAGACACAUGAUCCCAUGGGAGCUGGUGCCCAGCACCGCUGUGUGUAAACAGAGCCUGCCCCCUCUGGGGUGGCCCCAUCUUCCGACACUGGCCUCCGCCUCCCAGUGGAAACCCAAGAUCCAGACUGGGACGAGGGCUGCCAGAUGUCUGUGAAAAGGGCCGUCUGUCUUUGCUGAUAAGAAUUCUCCAGACAAUGGGCCGGCAAUUCCCGCUGGGCUCCGCUCAGGAGACUCCGACAGGCCGGGUCACGGCUCCCUGCCUCUCAGGGCCAUCUCUGCAGGCCAGGGCUUCCCGCUUCCCCGGAACACCCCUUGGCCCCAGCUCCCCGCUCAUCCAAACCCACGGCCACUGCUCUUUGCAGGAUUUCUCAGGAAAGAGUCUUCUCUGAAGGCCCUGAUUGGGGAGUGUUGGUGAACUCAGCCUGAACUGUCUUGUCCUGAAUCGCUGGGGUCUGUGUAGCUGAGGGCCAGGGGGUGUGGGGUGUAUGUGUGUGUGGGGGGUGCUCAGAGUGAUGCUGGAUAAAUGAUUCGGGAUCCCCUUAUUGGGGGCUGACCAUUCACCCCACCCGGGGCUCAGAGAUGGACGCUUGUGACGGUUCCCGCUGAUGCCUCCGUUGAAAGACGGCCACAUGGAGACCAAGGAGGCCAACAAGGGUGCCCAACCCCACGGUGUCCCCAUGAUGAGGGCAACCUGGGUGGGACUCCUCAUUCUGAGCCCACGACCCCUCCUCAUUACCGCGCAUGCUUUGAAGGAAGGAAGCAGUGCGCACGUGCACGGAGGAAGAAGGUUCCAGGGGGCAUAGCGGCCCCAAGAAGGCCCACACCUGCCACCCCCACUUGCACUUAGGGUCGUUAGAAACCGAUUCUGUGGGAACCCACCCUCCCUCCUGGAAAACGAGAAGGGGCUUGCUAACGUAGCAAGCACCGCGGACCAUCUCACCCGCCUUCUCCAGGACAGCGGUGUCAGCAUCCUCACCCGCAUUGUGCAAGCGGGAACCUCCAGGCUGACCGUGGAGGGCUUGCCAAGCUCCAGGAGUCUGGAGCGCGUGGAGCUGAGUCUGCCCGGUGCCGUGGUCCUGGCUUCCUCCCUCCGCGUCCAGACCUGUGCGAAGACUCCUUUCCUCGGGAAGCAGGAGAGGCAGAAGGAAUCCAGAAGUUUCCAUCCUGCUGUCGUCUCAAUGCCAUCCUGUGAUGGGUCUGCACCUUCCUACCAUGCCUCCAAGCAGAGCCUCAGCCUGCCAGUGCUGGCGAGUUCCUGCGGCUGCAGCUGUUACCGGGGUCAUAGCUCUAAGUCUUGGCUCGGGGCUGGCUCUGUCGCAGAGGAUGCAUUCACGAGGGCCCCGCAUUUGUGCCCUCCCUGCCUGGACCCCCGACUAGUGGCUGUGAAAACCCAUCCUCAGGCUCUGGGACAGAUCCACGUGAUCCCCUGAUAGGGAGCACAUGCUCUUCCACUGAUGCGAUUUUCCCUGAGCUCUUUCCCCCACACUCUCCCCUCCACCCCUGGCUCACGUAUGAGACACCACGGAGUUUCACGGUCAGAGGCACAAACACAUACACGAUCAGAAGAAGAGGAAGAUAGAUUUCUAGUGUUGUCGUUGCACUGAUUUGAGAAGUGAGGGUGAAACCAGGAGGUUCCUUCUCCCCGGCACAGUCCCUGUAUCCGUCAGCUAUCGCCCCAGUGGGACCAUGUAACAAACCCCUCUCAAACCCAGGGGCACAACACCCAUCAGCAUCGCUUUCUUGCUCGGGUGUCUGGUUGGCUGCAGUGGCUCUGUCCUGAGGGGCGGGUCUGUGGACUGGUCGGGGUUUGGCUGACCCGUUGAGCUUGGCUCUGGGCCAGGACGUGGUCCACGUGUCUCCGCUUCCUGGGAGCAGCAGGCUCCCACACGAGUGACCUCAAGGCACUGGUCACUUAUAAGAUGCGGGACCCUGGGUAAAGCUUGUCUGAGCCCCCGUUUCCUUGUGUGUAAGAUGGAGGGUGACAUUAGUCCACGUCCAAGCUUGUGGUGGGAAUUGAGCGAGAAGGAUGUGCCCAAAAACAGAGCAGCCACACGGCAGCCACUGCAAGUGUCACAAGAGGUCUCUGCAGGAGGUGCGUAUGUAGCAGUGAAGUCCUCUGGACGUUAGCACCCGGAGGACUGGGGGCCCUGGCCUUGCUCUUCAAUAUGGGCAAGGAGAGCCCACACGGCUGAAGACGUUUCUACCUCUCGGUGGCUCCGGAACCAAGGGUCCCCUUGCAAGUCCUCGUGUGCUGUGUCUGAACGUCAUAGCACGCUUCCUAGACACACUCAAGCCUUGAAAACAGGCUGGCCCCAGAGGGGUGAGGGCCGUCAGGACCUCACAUUCCUUGUCCCCCAGAGGGAAACCUCCCCUGGGACCCGACAGAGCCACAUUCUGCAACUUGUCGGUUUUAUGUGAAGCUGAGGAAGGAAGGCCCGAAUACUGGGAGGAUUAAGCCAUGCCACCACCUCUGUCGUAUGCAGGAUUUGUCCUCAUCUGCGACUCAGAGGUGGCUGGGAUAAGAUGGACAGGUUCACCCAAGUCUCUGAUGUAGAAUCUCUGUCUUUUUUGGGAGACCACAGUACUUUUGAGAAUCCGAUGGAAGCCAUUGAACUUUCACCCCCCCGCCCCCCAACAAAGCACGGAGAUGUGCAAUCUUUUGGAUAUGACUUCAAGCAGCUCGUAUGCUCCCUGAAGAUCAUUAAUAUAUGAGACAUGAAGAACCCCAGUCUAGGGACACAUCAGAAGACAGGAGCCAUGAAGGGCUCCCAUUGGACAGGGCUGGGAAUUUGAGCAUUGUGACGUACAACGCCCAUAAUGGAUUAUAAUCCAAUGACCAAAACAGGAAUCCAUGAGUCCACACUGAUAAUGAACUAGUAGACGGAGAGAUACAUAAAUAGUGGGGAAGAGAGAGCUCUCGAGGUGGAGUACCAGCUAACGAAGGUAGGUGGAAUGACAGGCUUAGAAAACUAAUUGUGCAGCCAUGAGAGUAAUAGGUGAUUUAGGCCAGUAUCAGACUCAUGGGUGGAUGAGAAAACUGUUGGGUGAAAAUCUAAUAAGGAACAGGUUAUUGACAUUGUCUCAAAGGUAUCUUUCUACAGAUGACAUUAUCUUCCAAAGGGAAAAAGAGAACACCAUCCUAACCAAGCAAAGUCAGCAUCGCCAAGAUUGGGACCCAGGGACAUCCCGUGCCUCCUGAUGACACGCACCCGGAAGGACACAGCUUCAGUUCCGUGUCAGCCCCGCGAAAACCCAAUCACAAGGAAACGGCGACAGACACAAAUCAGGGAGCAGCCUGCGGAGAAACUCAACCGUCCUCUUCAAAAGGCUAGCGUCACGGAGACAAGGAAAGAACGGAAGAACCAUCCAGAAUAAAGGAAGCUUGAAAAGACGCGAUGCUAAAUGCAACGAUUGAUCUUAUUUUGAAAGAAAAUGCUGUGAAGAACGUUAUGGGGACAAUUGGAAAAAUCCUAGUAGGAACCAUGCCUUAGAUAAUAUUAUUUCAGUGGUAAAUUGUCUGCAUUUAAUAAUCGCAUGGUGGUCAAUCUCAUUAAAAAUCUUAUUUGUUCUUCAAAGAAUAUAAUGGUGCUAUGGUUUUGUAAGAAAGUGUCCUUGUUAUUAAAAGAGACACGCUGGGAUAUUUAAGGACUCCUGGGGCCUCAAUUGUAUCCUUCGCCAAAUUCACCUCCUGAAGCCCUAAGGCCCAGGGUGGCUGGACUUGGAGUAAGGAAGUAAUUAAGGUAAGGUGGGGUCAUGAGGGUGGGCCCUGAUCUGAUGGAAUUAGUGCCCUUAUAAGAAAUGACGGAGAGACACCAGAGCUCGCUCUCUGGGUCGUGUGAGGACACAGCAGUAAGGCGGCUGUCUGCCAGCCGGGAGGCAGGUUCUCACCAAAAACCCAAUCGCCCGGUGCCCUGAUCCUGGACUUUCAGACUCCAGAACUGUGAGGAAUAAAUUCGUGUCAUUUAAGCCACCCUGACUACGAUAUUUUAUGAUGGCAGCCCAAGCAGACCGAGACAGGGGUGGAAGGGCACAUCAUCUGCCUCUUACUACAUACAGGUCAGGAAAGAAGGAUGUACGGUAUAUAAAGACAAUCGAGAUGGAGAGAAAUCAAAUUGGCAGAACGAACGUUGACGGUUGGUCAAUCUCGGGGGAGGGUCGACGGGCGUUAUUUAUAUC